rnacentral:rRNA from 1 species
AUUGAACGCUGGCGGCCGGCCUAACACAUGCAAGUCGAACGAGUGGCGGACGGGUGAGUACUGUCUGGGAAACUGCCCGAUGGAGGGGGAUAACUCCUGGAACCGGUAGCUAAUACCGCAUACCAUCGGAUGUGCCCAGAUGGGAUUAGCUAGUCGGUGGGGUAACGGCUCACCUAGGCGACGAUCCCUAGCUGGUCUGAGAGGAUGACCAGCCACACUGGAACUGAGACACGGUCCAGACUCCUACGGGAGGCAGCAGUGGGGAAUAUUGCACAAUGGGCGCAAGCCUGAUGCAGCCAGGCCGCGUGUAUGAAGAAGGCCUUCGGGUUGUAAAGUACUUUCAGCGAGGAGGCGGUACUCGCAGAAGAAGCACCGGCUAACUCCGUGCCAGCCGCCGCGGUAAUUC